rnacentral:rRNA from 1 species
GACGAACGUUGGCGGCGUGCUUAAUACAUGCAAGUCAACUGAAGCAGUGGUAGCAAUAUCGCUGUGGAGGUGGCGCACGGGUGAGUAACACGUAGGUAAUCUGCCUUCAGGUCUGGCAUAACUCCGGGAAACCGGGGCUAAUAGCAGAUGAUGCAGCGGCUCGACAUCGAGACAGUUGUUAAAGCUAUGGCGCCUGAAGAUGAGCCUGCGUCUGAUUAGCUAGUUGGCGGGGUAACGGCCCACCAAGGCAACGAUCAGUAGCUGGUCUGAGAGGAUGAUCAGCAACACUGGAACUGAGACACGGUCCAGACUCCUACGGGAGGCAGCAGUAAGGAAUAUUGCUCAAUGGGAGAAAUCCUGAAGCAGCGACGCCGCGGGAGGGACGAAGGGCUUUUGCUUGUAAACCUCUGUAGUGAGAGAAAAAAAUCCCAAUCUUUGGGACAUGAUGGUAUCUCAAAAGUAAGCCCCGGCUAACUACGUG